rnacentral:rRNA from 1 species
UACGUAGGGGGCGAGCGUUGUCCGGAGUUACUGGGCGUAAAGGGCGUGCAGGCGGUGCGGUAAGUUUAGCGUGACAGUCUCCGGCUUAACUGGAGAAGGCCGCUGAAACUGCUGGACUUGAGGGCCAGAGAGGGACAUAGAAUUCCGGGUGGAGUGGUGAAAUGCGUAGAUAUCCGGAGGAAUACCAAAGGCGAAGGCAGUGUCCUGGCUGGCAACUGACGCUGAGGCGCGAAAGCUAGGGGAGCGAACAGG